CCUACGGGAGGCAGCAGUGAGGAAUAUUGGUCAAUGGCCGGAAGUCUGAACCAGCCAAGCCGCGUGAAGGACGAAGGUGCCAAGCAUUGUAAACUUCUUUUGUCAAGGGACAAAAUCAGGCUCGAGAGCCUGACCGAGCUGACUUGAAGCAAAAGCAUCGGCUAACCCCGUGCCAGCAGCCGCUGUAAUACGGGGGGUGCGAGCGUUAUCCGGUUUUAGUGGGUUAAAAGGGUGCGUAGGCGGACUGUUAAGUCAGCGGUAAAAGCCCGGGGCUCAACCCCGGCGAGCCGUUGAAACUGGGUGUCUUGAGAUGUCGAGAGGUAUGCGGAAUGCGCAGUGUAGCGGUGAAAUGCUUAGAUAUUUCGAAGAACUCCGAUUGCGAAGGCAGCAUACCGGCGGCGAUCUGACGCUGAGGCACGAAAGCGUGGGUAUCGAACAGGAUUAGAUACCCGGGUAGUC
rnacentral:rRNA from 1 species